rnacentral:rRNA from 1 species
GACAUCCCAAUGACAUCUCCUUAAUCGGAGAGUUCCCUUCGGGGACAUUGGUGACAGGUGGUGCAUGGUUGUCGUCAGCUCGUGUCGUGAGAUGUUGGGUUAAGUCCCGCAACGAGCGCAACCCUUGUCUUUAGUUGCCAUCCUUAAGUUGGGCACUCUAGAGAGACUGCCAGGGAUAACCUGGAGGAAGGUGGGGAUGACGUCAAAUCAUCAUGCCCCUUAUGCUUAGGGCUACACACGUGCUACAAUGGGUAGUACAGAGGGUUGCCAAGCCGUAAGGUGGAGCUAAUCCCUUAAAGCUACUCUCAGUUCGGAUUGUAGGCUGAAACUCGCCUACAUGAAGCUGGAGUUACUAGUAAUCGCAGAUCAGAAUGCUGCGGUGAAUGCGUUCCCGGGUCUUGUACACAC